GGGGCAGCGGGGAGGAAGCUUGCUUUCUCCGCCGGCGACCGGCGCACGGGUGAGUAACACGUAUGCAACCUGCCCCUGUCAGGGGGACAACCCGCCGAAAGGCGGGCUAAACCCGCGUACAUGCCACCGGGGCAUCCCGGAGGCAGGAAAGGCUUCGGCCGGACAGGGAUGGGCAUGCGGCGCAUUAGGCAGUAGGCGGGGUAACGGCCCACCUAACCGACGAUGCGUAGGGGUUCUGAGAGGAAGGUCCCCCACACUGGUACUGAGACACGGACCAGACUCCUACGGGAGGCAGCAGUGAGGAAUAUUGGUCAAUGGCCGGGAGACUGAACCAGCCAAGCCGCGUGAGGGAGGAAGGUACAGAGUAUCGUAAACCUCUUUUGUCAGGGAACAAAGACUGGGACGCGUCCCCGGAUGAGUGUACCUGAAGAAAAAGCAUCGGCUAACUCCGUGCCGGCAGCCGCGGUAAUACGGAGGAUGCGAGCGUUAUCCGGAUUUAUUGGGUUUAAAGGGUGCGCAGGCGGUCUGUUAAGUCAGCGGUCAAAGCCCGGGGCUCAACCCCGGCCCGCCGUUGAAACUGGCAGUCUCGAGUUGGAGAGAAGUAUGCGGAAUGCGCGGUGUAGCGGUGAAAUGCAUAGAUAUCGCGCAGAACUCCGAUUGCGAAGGCAGCAUGCCGGCUCCACACUGACGCUGAGGCACGAAAGCGUGGGUAUCGAACAGGAUUAGAUACCCUGGUAGUCCACGCAGUAAACGAUGAAUGCUGGCUGUCCGGGGGGACUGACCCCUGGGUGGCGAAGCGAAAGCGAUAAGCAUUCCACCUGGGGAGUACGCCGGCAACGGUGAAACUCAAAGGAAUUGACGGGGGCCCGCACAAGCGGAGGAACAUGUGGUUUAAUUCGAUGAUACGCGAGGAACCUUACCCGGGCUCAAACGGGGAGUGCCGCAGGCAGAGACGCCUGUUUCCCACGGGACACUCCCCGAGGUGCUGCAUGGUUGUCGUCAGCUCGUGCCGUGAGGUGUCGGCUUAAGUGCCAUAACGAGCGCAACCCCCGCGUGCAGUUGCUAACAGAUAACGCUGAGGACUCUGCACGGACUGCCGGCGCAAGCCGCGAGGAAGGCGGGGAUGACGUCAAAUCAGCACGGCCCUUACGUCCGGGGCGACACACGUGUUACAAUGGGUGGUACAGCGGGAAGCCAGGCGGCGACGCCGAGCGGAACCCGAAAUCCACUCUCAGUUCGGAUCGGAGUCUGCAACCCGACUCCGUGAAGCUGGAUUCGCUAGUAAUCGCG
rnacentral:rRNA from 1 species